GGUGUGUGAGGGCUGAGGGGUUGCACAGCAGAUGCAGCAUCCCUGAGUCUGGAAUCACUUUCACCUCCGCUUCCCAGGGCUGCAGAACGGAACAAUAUGAUCCUUAGAUGGAGUCAGCACCUGUGUCAGAGAAACAGAGACCAAGAACGAGCUGCAGAGGGGAGGGGACCAGUCAAGGCUCACAGCACAGGAAGAUGGGAAAAGGACUGAACAGCAGAGGAUAAGAGGAUGUGAGCUGUGCUCACAAUGAAAUCACUGGGAAUUCUGCCAUGGAAGCAGAACUGAGUUGUUCUUUCAGCAUUUCAGUGCCCAUCACUGCAUUAUCCAGGCGCCACCAAAAGAUUAAGGAGCUCUGCAGGGACAUUCUCCACAUGGUCUGUUCAAAGGUCCUUAGCAGAGCCUCUCAUUCUGGAAAAGGCCGGAGGAGGGCAAGGAAGAGAGCCACGGGAAA